GGAGGAAUACCCAAGCGGCUGAAGGGGUCGGUCUCGAAAACCGAUAGGAGCGCAAGCUCGCGCAGGUUCAAAUCCUGCUUCCUCCGCCA
rnacentral:tRNA from 1 species